GGAGGCGAGUUUCAGCUGGUGCUGGACACGGACUUCAAAUCCGAUGGGGGUUGGUAAUUCCAGUCUCGGUGUGUUCGAUUCGCACACGCCUCCGCCA
rnacentral:tRNA from 1 species